GGUCGCGUGGCCUAAUGGCUAAGGCGCUAGAUUUCGGUCAAGGGGGGUUCACGAGUCUGAUCGGGCCCGGUCCUCCUUGAAUAAAACGUAUACUGAGCUCUCUAGAGAUUCCAGGUUCGACUCCUGGCGCGAUCG